rnacentral:rRNA from 1 species
GUGGGGAAUCUUGCGCAAUGCGCGAAAGCGUGACGCAGCAACGCCGCGUGAGGGAAGACGGCCUUCGGGUUGUAAACCUCUUUCAGUUGGGACGAAGCCACGACGGUUAAUACCCGUCUGUGGUGACGGUACCUUCAGAAGAAGCCCCGGCUAACUACGUGCCAGCAGCCGCGGUAAUACGUAGGGGGCAAGCGUUGUCCGGAAUUAUUGGGCGUAAAGCGCGUGUAGGCGGCUCGAUAAGUCCGCUCUGAAAGCCUAGGGCUCAACCCUAGGAGGCGGGUGGAUACUGUCGAGCUUGAGUCUGGAAGAGGCGAGUGGAAUUCCCGGUGUAGCGGUGAAAUGCGCAGAUAUCGGGAGGAACACCAAUUGCGAAGGCAGCUCGCUGGGACAUGACUGACGCUGAGACGCGAAAGCGUGGGGAGCAAACAGGAUUAGAAACCCGGGUAGUCC